UGUCGUCAGCUCGUGUUGUGAAAUGUUGGGUUAAGUCCCGCAACGAGCGCAACCCUUAUCCUUUGUUGCCAGCGGUCCGGCCGGGAACUCAAAGGAGACUGCCAGUGAUAAACUGGAGGAAGGUGGGGAUGACGUCAAGUCAUCAUGGCCCUUACGACCAGGGCUACACACGUGCUACAAUGGCGCAUACAAAGAGAAGCGACCUCGCGAGAGCAAGCGGACCUCAUAAAGUGCGUCGUAGUCCGGAUUGGAGUCUGCAACUCGACUCCAUGAAGUCGGAAUCGCUAGUAAUCGUGGAUCAGAAUGCCACGGUGAAUACGUUCCCGGGCCUUGUACACACCGCCCGUCACACCA
rnacentral:rRNA from 2 species